AGCUCCAAUAGCGUAUAUUAAAGUUGUUGCAGUUAAAACGCUCGUAGUCGGAUUUCGGGGCGGGCCGCCGGUCUGCCGAUGGGUAUGCACUGGCGGGGGCGCUCCUCCGGAGACGGCUGCUACUCUUAACUGAGCGGUGGCCGGAGACGGGAUAUUUACUUUGAAAAAAUCAGAGUGUUUCAAGCAGGCAGUCGCUCUUG
rnacentral:rRNA from 1 species